ACGCUCGACACCUACGGGAGGCAGCAGUGGGGAAUAUUGGGCAAUGGGCGCAAGCCUGACCCAGCAACGCCGCGUGAAGGAAGAAGGCUUUCGGGUUGUAAACUUCUUUUGUCAGGGAACAGUAGAUGAGGGUACCUGACGAAUAAGCUCCGGCUAACUACGUGCUAGCAGCCGCGGUAAUCUGAGCGGGCUGGCAAGGC
rnacentral:rRNA from 1 species